rnacentral:ncRNA from 1 species
AAAAUAACGAUGAAGGAAAGUUUUGUUGUAGGAUGAUUAAAGAGAGCCAGUGGCUGGUGUAAACUGGUAGAUUCCUCUUCAAAAUAGCGUUCUGGAGUUGUUAGGCUGAAACAAAGUAGGUCUAAACGGUAAAAUCCGUUAUCAUUUCAGGUAGUAGAUUCUAUUACCUACUGAGGUCAUGAUCGUGAGAUUAUGAUAAAUUAGGGUGGCAACGCGGAAGUAAAACCUUUCGUCCCAAAU